AGAGUUUGAUCAUGGCUCAGGACGAACGCUGGCGGCGUGCCUAACACAUGCAAGUCGAGCGGGGACACGGGGCUUCGGCCCAGUGUUCUAGCGGCGGACGGGUGAGUAACGCGUGAGCAAUCUGUCCCAGACAGGGGGAUAACAACUGGAAACAGUUGCUAAUACCGCAUAAGACCACGGCCUCGCAUGGGGCUGAGGUAAAAGUGGAAACACAGUUUGGGGUGAGCUCGCGUCCCAUUAGCUAGUUGGUGAGGUAACGGCCCACCAAGGCGACGAUGGGUAGCCGACCUGAGAGGGUGAUCGGCCACACUGGAACUGAGACACGGUCCAGACUCCCACGGGAGGCAGCAGUGGGGAAUAUUGGGCAAUGGGCGAAAGCCUGACCCAGCAACGCCGCGUGAGGGAUGAAUGUUUUCGGAUUGUAAACCUCUGUCCUCAGGGACGAAGGAAGUGACGGUACCUGAGGAGGAAGCCCCGGCUAACUACGUGCCAGCAGCCGCGGUAAUACGUAGGGGCGAGCGUUGUCCGGAAUGACUGGGCGUAAAGGGCGCGUA
rnacentral:rRNA from 1 species